rnacentral:rRNA from 1 species
ACUCAAAUGAAUUGACGGGGGCCCGCACAAGCGGCGGAGCGUGUGGUUUAAUUCGAUGCAACGCGAAGAACCUUACCAGGGUUUGACAUGCUGGAAGUAGAAACCCGAAAGGGGGACGACCCGUAAAAUCGGGGACCAGCACAGGUGCUGCAUGGCUGUCGUCAGCUCGUGCCGUGAGGUGUUGGGUUAAGUCCCGCAACGAGCGCAACCCUCGCCGUCAGUUAAAUUUCUCUGGCGGGACCGCUGGGAUAAACCCAGAGGAAGGUGGGGAUGACGUCAAGUCAGCAUGGCCCUUAUGUCCUGGGCUACACACACGCUACAAUGGACGGUACAAUGGGCAGCUAAGGUGUGAACCCCAGCUAAUCCCACAAAGCCGUCCCCAGUUCAGAUUGCAGGCUGCAACUCGCCUGCAUGAAGGCGGAGUCGCUAGUAACCGCAGGUCAGCACACUGCGGUGAAUACGUUCCCGGGCCUUGUACACACCGCCCGU